rnacentral:rRNA from 1 species
GACGAACGCUGGCGGCGUGCUUAACACAUGCAAGUCGAACGGAAAGGCCCUGCUUUUGUGGGGUGCUCGAGUGGCGAACGGGUGAGUAACACGUGAGUAACCUGCCCUUGACUUUGGGAUAACUUCAGGAAACUGGGGCUAAUACCGGAUAGGAGCUCCUGCUGCAUGUUGGGGGUUGGAAAGUUUCGGCGGUUGGGGAUGGACUCGCGGCUUAUCAUCUUGUUGGUGGGGUAGUGGCUUACCAAGGCUUUGACGGGUAGCCGGCCUGAGAGGGUGACCGGCCACAUUGGGACUGAGAUACGGCCCAGACUCCUACGGGAGGCAGCAGUGGGGAAUAUUGCACAAUGGGCGGAAGCCUGAUGCAGCAACGCCGCGUGCGGGAUGACGGCCUUCGGGUUGUAAACCGCUUUCGCCUGUGACGAAGCGUGAGUGACGGUAAUGGGUAAAGAAGCACCGGCUAACUACGUG